rnacentral:lncRNA from 1 species
AGGGCAAGUUCCUGAAACCUGGGAAACUGGUGGUGGUCCUGGCCAGAUGCUACUCCGACGCAAAGCUGUCAUCGUGAAGAACAUUGAUGAUGGCACGUCAGAUUGCCCCUACAGCCACCGGAUAUCCCCUUGGACAAAACUGUUAUCAAUAAAGAUGUCUUCAGAGACCCUGCUCUUAACCACAAGGCCCAAUGGGAGGCCAAGGUCAAGUUUGAAGAGAGGAACAGAUGGGCAAGAACAAGUGGUUCUUUGAGAAGCUGCAGUUUUAG